rnacentral:sRNA from 1 species
CCCUCUUUCGGGACUUUUUGUGUGGCCGUUCCGAAUUUAUGACGCUAUCUUCAUUGUCCGAUGUUUUGUGAUCUUGUUCAUUCUUAAUUUUAAUCCCAACAUUGCUUGGUCUCCUUUACCUGCUGAUUUCUGAUGCAUAUUCAGCAUCAUGAGUUGAUAGCCAAGGCAUGGAUCCAGUAUGUGGUGGGAGCAAAGAUCCAGUUAUGUGACAAUUCAUUUCUCCUAUACCUUUUUACAGAAAACCGUAUCAUGCUUCCCUUUCUAAUCACAUGAUGUCUGUCCGACCGGCUUAUGAAUUUUCCUCCAUCUCCUUUCUAAAUAAAAGAGGAUAUCAAAUAUGAUUAAACAUAUUUGAACAGGAAA